rnacentral:rRNA from 1 species
UAGUGGCAGACGGGUGAGUAAUGCGUAGGAAUCUACCUAGUAGUAUGGAAUAGCCAUUAGAAAUGAUGGGUAAUACUGUAUAAUCCCUGCGGGGGAAAGAUUUAUCGCUAUUAGAUGAGCCUACGUUAGAUUAGCUAGUUGGUAAGGUAAUGGCUUACCAAGGCUAUGAUCUAUAGCUGGUCUGAGAGGACGAUCAGCCACACUGGAACUGAGAUACGGUCCAGACUCCUACGGGAGGCAGCAGUGGGGAAUAUUGGACAAUGGGCGAAAGCCUGAUCCAGCUAUGCCGCGUGAGUGAAGAAGGCCUUCGGGUUGUAAAGCUCUUUCAAUAGGGAAGAUAAUGACGGUACCUAUA